UGGCUCAGUUGGUAGAGUAUGGUGUUUGCAACGCCAGGGUUGUGGGUUCGAUUCCCAC
rfam:Salmo salar isolate Sally breed double haploid chromosome ssa01, whole genome shotgun sequence.